AGUGUUCAUAUAAAAAUUUCAUUUUUUAUUUUUUAUUUUUUAUUUUUUUUAAAUUUCAUUUUUUAAAGUUGUUUUUCUUAUCCUGUAUAUUUACAACAUUCCUUAGAAAUGGAAGGCAUUUAGCACUAUUUCUAUUCUGCCUUUAUAGAUAUUACAUAAUUAUAUGACUUUUACAACAAGGUCAUCAAAAAAAUCUAAGGGGUAUUUUUCCCCAUUAACCUUUAGUAGCUAAAUGAAACAUAUUUUAUGAUCAUAGAAUUGUGUAUUCAGAUUACAUGGUACUCAUGUGACAAAAAACUGUGGGUUAUCUAGAAAAUAUAUGUGAAAGUAAUUUUAUUACUUUUCUUUUUUUUUUUCUUUUUGUUGUCAAACACCCUUUAGAAAGUUAAACCUUUGCUUUUAGUAAAAUUACUUGGACAUGAAUCUUGCAGAAUUGUGUUCAAGUAGAUUUAAAUUGUUUUGAGUGCAAAAUUAACAAAAUUGUUUCAGAAAUUUCUUUAAGCAAAUUUAGAAAUAUUUGUAAAAUGACAGUUUGCAUCUGAGAUGUAUGCCAACUCAGUUGUGAAAGCUGCAUAAGAGCUAAGAUUAUUCAGUGGGUAUUUAUUUGAUUGACCAUGAAAGAAAAACACAGCUGAAGGUGCAUGACAUAUUUCUCCAUUCACAGCUGAGUGGAAAGGUACCACGUGUUGGGGAGAGACCUGCUUUCUGAUAAAGCUUGUCAGCUAAAUUGAAUUUUGUGUUUUCAAAACAUCAGAGUAGAUGAUCUCUGUGACAUAUUUUAACAUCAAAAUAAUUCAUGGCUCAUGGCUCCAAAGGAGAAUCUUCCUUUUUCAGUCACUACUAAAUUAUCAGUGCUUUUGCAGGAAGCAGAAAGUGCCAUGGGGAGUUGUGAUUCUGGAGACUUAACAAUGAAAUACUCAAUAUACAUUAUAUCUAUAGAAAAUAUUGAAAGAAAGUUUUUCCCUGGCAAGCUUCAUCACAGUUUGCGCUCUUUCUGGAAUAAACUGUAAGUCUCUUCAAUGCUAUCUUUGUGAUUGUAUGUAUGUAGAUGGAAUCAUCAUAUGUCAUAUAACAGGUCCAUUUUGUAGUUAGGUAAUUAUAUCCCUUUGUAAUGAAUUUAAGUCAACUUGCCUUCUACCAAACCAGCAUGUAUUUUUCAACUUAGAUAAGAGAAAUAUUUUUUUUAUUCUGGACACUAAUUGUUAGCUCUCAGUAGGGAAUAGAUCCCAUAUAUAUUAGCGCAGUGAUAUAUGGAUACACAUUUGUAGACCUGAAGACUCAUUAUUUUGCAUUUGACUUUUGGUAUUAACACAUGUAUAAUACUUCUUAUGAAUAAGUCAGGUAUAAUUAUGAGCCACAUGUGACUAAAUCAGGUAGAGUAAUUUCAGGGGAUGGAUUGGUGUGCAUCAAGAGCUUUAGAAGACAAAUGUCAAUAUUUUGUACUUAUUAUUUUUUGUUUCUGGGAACCUCUGAAGGCAGCUGCUGUGCAAAAGUCAUUUGUCACUCUCCAAGUGAGUUUCCAUAUCAGUGGCAGCAUUUACACAAAUGCUAAUACCGUUUUUAAACAUUAGUGAGACGCAUAGGAUCUGAAUGUUUUACUAACAUAUAAUGACAAUGAUACUUAAUAUCAAAUAGCAAAUUUUUAAUCCAAGGAUAGCUAUAUAAUUAACGAUUCAAUUGUUGCAAAUUAUUUACAAACAUUAAGGGCAUUGGGUUACCAUUUUAGACCAUAAUUUAUUUGACAUGGGAACACACUGAAAGGAAAUGUGAAUUUUUCAUUCAUCAUCUUCAAAGAGUAUAAAAUGAAUACCUCAGGCUUAUAAUAACCAAAAAGUUUAGUCACACUCAUAUACACAAUCUUGGGAUUGCUUUUAUUUACCACUCUCAUCCUUAUUUCAAGGCUAGUUGUAUACUUUAUGAAUCCACAAAUGAUUGCCUUUAUUGAAAGGUUUGUGUUAUUCAAGAUGACUUGUAAAGUUUACUCAAUCUUCCCUAGCAAGGGAAACAGGAAAUUCCAGAGAACACUAGACUCAGCAAACCUAUAAAAUCUGAGAAAGCAGACCAUUAUUUCUGGAGACAUUUCACAUAACACUUUGGGAAGCAAUGACUAAUUAGUUUUUGGUCUUAACAAUAGCACUUUCAGAGGCUUUUUUUUUUUCCCCCUUUUCCUUUUAUAGCUUUCAUAUUAGGAGAAGAAGGAAUGUUGCUCUGAAUGAUGAAAUAUUGGCAACGUAUGCACUUGCUUCUCUGUAGGAGCUCAACUCUUUGAUCCUUAAAAUUACCUGCAUUGCCUGGCUGGCAUUAACCGGCUGGAGAGUAACAACCAAUUGUUGCGGGCACGACAACUUCCUGAUAUGCUUUGCCUCUAAUAACUAUUUCAAAUUGAAGGCUCUGUUCUAUUCCUAAAUUCUUUUUGUAGUAAGUUAAGCCCUUAAAGGGACAUAGGUGCUUGUUUAUGCCUGGACCCUCAUCUUUUCCAUGGCAGCACCUUGCCUAACCACUCACCUGCCAGUGAAUAUUUCGUUAUUAGCAGAGUUAAAACUUAUCCUGAGUUCUCUAAGUGUAAAUAUUUGCAUGUUAAAUCUCCUUUUCUCCUUUCUUCUUUCCUCCCUUUCCUUCGUUAUCUUUUCAAGCACCAGUCAUUCAUUCUUUUGUUUUAGAAUUUCACUUUUCCUACAUCUGUCUUAACUCCAGCAGCCGUCCUUGACUGUUUUUUCUGCCUAUUCCACAACCAGUCUAACCUAUCACUGAAUCCUGGUAGCUCCACUUCUGUAAUCCUGCUGAUCCUGGCCUGUACUAUGGCUCUUGGAUUAUUGUAAUAGUUUUCUCAUUGAUCUUGCUUCUGCUCCAAAUUCCAUGGCCUCCAGCCGGCCCUAAUUGAUUCUAAAACCAGCAGCAGCCCCAGUGAGCUUUUAGAAGUCAUACUAUGCCUCACCUUUGCUUAGAACUCUCCAGUAGUUUCUCAUCUCUCUUGGAGUAAAAACAGAAAUGCUUCCCAGGACCUCUAAGAAUCUGCUCUUCCCUCACUCUCAUUCAUCUACUGCCACUCAUUCCUCCCACUCUGACCUCUGUGUUGUAUUGUCAACAUGCCAAGCAUACUCCAAAUUUGGUGCUUUUAUACUUGCUGCUCCUCCUCGUUAAAUACAUAGAUCAUCUCUCCCAGAUAUCUGCAUUAAUCUUCAGAUCUAUGCUUAGUUGUUGCCUUCUCAGAGAGGCUGUUCCUGACCACUCUGUAUAAAAUAACAAUCCUGCACCUCAGCCCAACCCACCUCACAUUCCCUUUCCCUUUACCCCACUUUCUUCACAGCUCUUAUCACCAACCAGCAGGGUAUGUCUUUAGUUGUUUGUAGUCUCUUGCCCCUCGUUAAAACAUAAACUUCAUAGAGGCAGAGAGUUUAUUUUUUUAAAGAUUUUAUUUAUUUAUUCAUGACAGACACACAGAGAGAGGCAGAAACAUAGGUAGAGGGAGAAGCAGGCUCCCUGUAGGGAGCCUGAUGUGGGACUUGAUCCCAGGACUUCAGGAUCAUGCCCUGAGCCAAAGACAGACACUCCACUAUGCCACCAGGUGCCCCAAGGCAGAGACCUUAUUUUGGAAUUGCUAUAUCCCCAUACCCCCAUGCCUAGAGCAAUGCCUGCCAUGGAGUAGGGAUUCAAUAAAUACUUCCUAUUUGUUGAAUAAAAAAAAAAAGUAAUAAAGUAACAUGAAUUUAUUUGUCUGCUUUCUGCUUUUUAUCUUUGCUUUGUCUUAUGUCUCCCACUACCACCUCCUUAAUUCAGGCAAGUGUUUAUGCCUCAAGAACAUUUUUUUUCUCUUUAGUUACAAAUAUGCUACCCAUCCUUUCGUUCAUAUAAAAAAGUUACUUUCCAAAAAAAAAAAAAAAAA
rnacentral:lncRNA from 1 species